rnacentral:rRNA from 1 species
GACGAACGCUGCGGCGUGCUUAACACAUGCAAGUCGAACGGAAAGGCCUGCUUUCCCUUGUGGAUUGCGGGUACUCGAGUGGCGAACGGGUGAGUAACACGUGAGUGAUCUGCCCCCAACUUGGGUAUAAGCCUGGGAAACUGGGUCUAAUUCCCGAUAGGACUGCAGGGUGGUGCCUGUGGUGGAAAACGAUUUUCUAGUGGUUGGGGAUGAGCUCGCGGCCUAUCAGCCUGUUGGUGGGGUAAUGGCCUACCAAGGCGGCGACGGGUAGCCGGCCUGAGAGGGUGGACGGCGACAUUGGGACUGAGAUACGGCCCAGACUCCUACGGGAGGCAGCAGUGGGGAAUAUUGCACAAUGGGCGGAAGCCUGAUGCAGCGACGCCGCGUGGGGGAUGACGGCCUUCGGGUUGUAAACUCCUUUCGACCGCGAGGAAGCCACCUGGUUGGAAGGGUGGUGACGGUAGUGGUAGAAGAAGCACCGGCUAACUACGUG